rnacentral:rRNA from 1 species
ACGCACGCUGGCGGCGUGCUUAACACAUGCAAGUCGAACGGAAAGGCCCUGCUUUUGUGGGGUGCUCGAGUGGCGAACGGGUGAGUAACACGUGAGUAACCUGCCCUUGACUUUGGGAUAACUUCAGGAAACUGGGGCUAAUACCGGAUAGGAGCUCCUGCUGCAUGGUGGGGGCUGGAAAGUUUCGGCGGUUGGGGAUGGACUCGCGGCUUAUCAGCUUGUUGGUGGGGUAGUGGCUUACCAAGGCUUUGACGGGUAGCCGGCCUGAGAGGGUGACCGGCCACAUUGGGACUGAGAUACGGCCCAGACUCCUACGGGAGGCAGCAGUGGGGAAUAUUGCACAAUGGGCGGAAGCCUGAUGCAGCAACGCCGCGUGCGGGAUGACGGCCUUCGGGUUGUAAACCGCUUUCGCCUGUGACGAAGCGUGAGUGACGGUAAUGGGUAAAGAAGCACCGGCUAACUACGUG